AACGAACGCUGGCGGCAUGCCUAACACAUGCAAGUCGAACGAGACCUUCGGGUCUAGUGGCGCAGGGGUGCGUGACGCGGGGGAACCUGCCCGUAGGUUCGGAAUAACUCCCCGAAAGGGGUGCUCAUACCGGUUAAUGUCUUCGGAGCAAAGAUCUAUCGCGAUGGGGUGGGCGCGUGUUGGCUUAGCCAGUUGGUAGGGGAAAAGCAUACCAAGGGGAUGAUCCAUAGCUGGUCGGAGAGGAGGAUCAGCCACGCUGGGGCUGAGACACGGCCCAGACCGCUACGCGAGGGAGCAGAGUGGUACAUUAGAGAAGGGGCGAUAGCGUGAUCCAGCAACGCGGGGUGAGUGAGCAAUUCCGUAGGGUUGUAAAUCUCUUUUACCCGGGAUGAGAAUGACAGUACCGGGUGAAUAAGCUCCGGCUAACUCCGUG
rnacentral:rRNA from 1 species